UAAUACUUUCUGCUCAAUGUACACAUAAAUUGCCGCAGUAUUAUAACUGUGCUAAGGUAGCAUAAUCACUUGUCUAUUAAUUGUAGACUAGAAUAAAUGAAACAAUGAGAUUACUUCUGUAUCAUAAAGUAAACCAAAAACUUAUCAAAAGAGUGAAGAAGCCUUUAUUACCCUGUAAGACAAAAAGACCCCGUGAAACUUAAAUUAAUCAUGCAUUAUAACAAAUACAAAAACUUUUGAUUGGGGCGAUCAAGAUACAUCAAACAACCUUAAAAUCAACUAACUCACAAGUUCAUUAAUUAUAUUCGACCCACCUAAACAAUGAAUAUUGAAAUAUAAAGCUACUCCGGGGAUAACAGACUAAUUUUCCUCUAAAGUCCAUAUUAAAAAGAAAGAUUAGCACCUCGAUGUUGGCUUAUAAAAAAAUUUGGAGAAAAAAUUAAAACAAAAGGUUUGUUCAACCUAUAACUUAUUACGUGAUCUGAGUUCAGACCCGGA
rnacentral:rRNA from 1 species